ensembl:lncRNA
GUUCAAGGCUCGGGACACGGCGGCGCGUCCAGGCCGCUGUGGGCGGCUGGUAGGGGCCGGCGUUAUCCGAGGCCAGCGUUUGGCUUUUCUGGCUCAAGGUGGCCUGGGCCGUCCUCAGGAAACUUCCGCACGCUGAGGAAAGCCGCGAAGCGGCCCUGCCCCUUAAGGGAGAGGAGCUGCGGGGACCAAACGACGCUUCGCAGUGUAGAGGAGCUAAGUACUAUGAUUGGACUUGUCAAAAGGAAAAUAGGAUCUUAUGCUGCUAAACAUGUAUGCUUGAAGAAUGGGGAAUAACCAUCUCUACUUUCCAAAGCCAAUGUGAGGCUUAAGUACCUGAAAUGUAUGAGUGAUCGGUAGUUGAGUUGAAGAACCCAGAUGAAAUUGUCUCUAUGCCCAGAUGUGAACUUGCCUAUGACAUAGCCUCCAUGAAGGAAUUCAGACAUCACUGUGGAACACAGCUCUCCUAUAGGACAGCCCUGCUGUCCUUCAUAUGGUCCUAGGAAUUGACUCACGGCGCUGGAGGCCCAUAGACUUCCCUCGGGACAGAUCCCAUCUUCUCUGCCACAUCCAGAGAAGCCUCCUCAUGAGGCUGUUAUUGACCUGCACAUCAGAACAAUGGUUCUGGGAUGCUGAAGCCCCUAGUGCCCACUCGGGAAACCAAAUCACUUGAAAUUAACAAGUCAUUUGGAGUUAACAACAGCAACAACAAAUCAAUAGCUAACCUUUUGGAAUACUAACAGAUAGUCAUGUACGGAUGUGAGAGUUGGACCAUAAAGAAGGCUGAGCACCAAAGAAUUGAUGCUUUUGAACUGUGGUGUUGGAGAAGACUCUUGAGAGUCCCUUGGACUGCAAAGAGAUCAAAUCAGUCAAUCCUAAAGGAAAUCAACCCUGAAUAUUCACUGGAAGGAUUCAUGCUGAAUCUGAAGCUCCAAAACUUUGGCCACCUGAUGCGAAGAACUGACUCAUUGGAAAACACCUUGAUGCUGAGAAAUAUUGAAGACAGGAAGAGAAAGGGAUGACAGAGGAUGAUGAGAUGGUUGGAUGGCAUCACCAACUCAGUGGACAUGAGUUUGAGCAAGCUCCGGGGGUUGGUGAUGGACAGGGAGGUCUGGCGUGCUGCAGUCCAUGGGGUUGCAAAGAGUCAGACACACCUGAGUGACUGAAAUGACUGAAAGUGACUGAGCACACAGUUACCAAGACAACAGCAGCGCUCCUCCUUCUUUUGGAUCUGUUUCCAAGCUGAGAACAAUAAAUAUAAAAGAUCAGAAAGAGGGAAAAGCAACGAGUCAUUCAAGGCAUUCGAAUUAUUCACCCUGGAGAAGAGAAUGCUAGGAGGUGCCAAUUAUAUUGUUUUGGUCUAUUAAAGGUUACUACGAUGCUGGAAAAGGACUCAUUCUUUUGAGGUAAUCCGGAGCCAAAUGAACUGAAACUUUUUUCAGAAGGAGGAGAUGUGAUGGUAUGAGAGCAAAAGAAGACCGAAAGUAAAAUUCCUUUUGUUUGAUUUGAUGGUGUGGGUGAGCAGCCUUGGGAACAGUGAACACACCUCCUCCUCUUGUUUGUGUGAGUGACUUUCCCGACUGAGACACAGUAACACCCAGAGGAAAUCAUCUAACUGUUAUUGGUAAUUAAAUGGAGAAUGUCAAGUCUCCCAGAGGACCAUUGCUCAUUGGAGAAGUGGAGAGCCAUUUCUGUUUGCAGUUACUUACUGGUGGAAAAUAAAAUGAGCCCUGUUUUGAUGAAGUGUCCUGGUGCUAGUGAAACAUUCCAUGAAGGGCAUUGUCUCCAAGACUUACUGAAUCCAUUCUACUGAAC